GAUGAAGAGCGUAGCGAAAUGCGAUACUUGGUGUGAAUUGCAGAAUCCCGUGAACCAUCGAGUCUUUGAACGCAAGUUGCGCCCGAAGCCAUUAGGCCGAGGGCACGCCUGCCUGGGCGUCACACGUCGUUGCCCCCCCAUCUACUCCUUCGGGAUUGCGGGGGGCGGAUGAUGGCCUCCCGUGCGCCUCGUCGCGCGGUUGGCAUAAAUGCCAAGUCCUCGGCGACGCACGCCACGACAAUCGGUGGUUGCGAAACCUCGGUUGCCCGUCGUGUGCGGUCGUCGCGCAUCGAGGGCUCGAAAAAAUUGCCGGGCUCCGGCUCGGCUUUCAACGCGACCCCAGGUCAGGCGGGGUUACCCGCUGAAUUUAAGCAUAUCAAUAGCGGAGGA
rnacentral:misc_RNA from 1 species